ACCCCGGUAGCCCAAUGGAUAAGGCGACAGCCUCCGGAGCUGUAAAUAGGGGUUCGAUUCCCUUCCGGGGUGCCA
rnacentral:tRNA from 1 species